rnacentral:rRNA from 1 species
CAUGUCCUUUUGAGAAUAAUUUAAGGUCUAAUCUGCCCACUGAGGAAUUAAAUGGCCGCGGUAUUUUGACCGUGCAAAGGUAGCAUAAUCAUUAGUUUCUUAAUUAGAAGCUGGAAUGAAUGAUUGGAUGAGAAAAUAACUGUCUCAAGUUAAUUUUUUUUGAAUUUUAUAUUUAAGUUAAAAAGCUUAAAUUUAAUUAAAAGACGAGAAGACCCUAUAGAGUUUAAUUUUUAUUUUAAAUUUUAAAUUAUUGAUUUUAUUGUUAAAAUUUAAUUUAAAAAUUUUGUUGGGGUGAUAGAAAAAUUAAAUAAACUUUUUUUAAAUAUUAACAUUAAUUUAUGAAUAAUUGAUCCAAAAUUUUUGAUUAAAAGAAUAAAUUACCUUAGGGAUAACAGCGUAAUUUUUUUUGAGAGUUCUAAUCGAAAAAAAAGAUUGCGACCUCGAUGUUGGAUUAAAAUUAAUUUUUGGUGUAGAAGCUAAAAAAUUAGGUCUGUUCGACCUUUAAAAUUUUACAUGAUCUGAGU